GAAUGUAUUUAUAACUAGUUGGUGCUUGUACGAUUUGAAAUCUGACAUAUUUUUUUAAUAACUUUACAAUCAUAUUAUAUAAAAAAUACACAUCCAGCUAUGAUUGAAGGAUUGGACAACAGAACUAGAAUCCCAUACUAAGUCCAUCCAUCUAACACUAAAAUACGCCAUCUUACGGACUACAAACUGGACAACGUAAUACUGAUUUUACAGGCAAAACAUUUUUUCUUUCUUUCUAGUUCAUUCUUAAGGUCGGCGUUGUUAAUAGUGCAUGCCCUGUAUUCAUCCUGAGGAGCCCUUCUUGACUCUCCCCUCUAAUUAAACACUUCAAACAGGAAAUAGAACUAAUAAGUAAUAGAUAUAUCAAUAUCGAAACAGUAUUUAUUCCAGAUCACGUCUUUUAAUAAAUUGUAACCGUGAUAUCUUUCGAAUAUCCAUAUUGAAAAUUGGAUACUAUCCAGCUUUUGCAUGACCGAUGCGAAACAACUAUUUUGGUACCGCAUCAAAACAUCACAGUCGGCUUAAUUUCAUUAAUGACACUGAUCUCUCUUUGAGAAAUGUUCCAUGGGGAAAUCACGAUAUAGAGAUGCGGACAGGCAAAUAUCAUUUCCGUAUAGAAAGUAUUGCCACAGAAUAAGAAGUAUAUUCUUAAUCUGUGGUAUUGCAUGCGUAGUCGUUAUAUAUAGCAAAAGUUCUCCCUGCAAUCAAAAGGCCAAUUUAAGGCGGUUUUACACUACACAACGUUUGGGCUAAAACUGUCGCAUGCAACGUGCUUACAACUUGAGUUGUACUGUGCAAAUCAAGCACACAACUCAUCUCUACGACAACUUGGGCGACUUGUGUGCUUGAUUUACACAGUGCAACUCAAACUCAAA